rnacentral:lncRNA from 1 species
CAUUUUUCUUACGUAUAAAAGGCGAUCCACAAUUGAUGACCCCAUCAUAAGUCAAGGAGCAUCUGUGUGCUGUAUUAAUCAGAGUUCUCCAGAAAAACCAAACCAUUAGAAUAGAGGAAGAGAUAUAUAAAGAGAUUUAUUAUGAGGGUUUGACUUGUGUGAUUAUGGAGUCUGAGAAGUUUUGUGAUCCACCGUCUGCAAGCUGGAGACUCAGGAAAUCCAGUGGUUGUAGUUUCAGACCAAUUCAGAAGGCUGAGAACCAGGAGAUUGCUGGAAUAAGUCCCAAUCCAAGUAUGAAAGCCCAAGAACCAGGAGCAUCAAUAUUCGAGUGCAGACGACAGAUGCCUCAGCUCAUGCAGGGAGAGAAAAUUUGCUGUUCCUCUUUUUGUUCUAUUCAGGCCUCCAGUGGAUUGGAAGAUGCACACUCACCCUGGUGAGGGCUGUCUUCUCUACUCAGUCUACAGAUUGAAAUACUAAUCUCUUCCAGGAACAUGCUCACAGGCACAUCCAGAAAUAACAUUUUACCAGCCAUCUGGGCGUCCCUUAACCCCGUCCAGCAGACACAUAAAAUUAACCCUCAUGUAUACCUAGGAGUGGAAUUGCUGGAUCACGUGAUAACUCUAUGUUUAGCCAUUUGAGAACUGCCAGACUGUUUUCCACAGUGGCUGCACCAUUUAUACACACCCACCCCUGGCAGUGAAUGAAAGUUCCAGUUUCUCUGUAUCCUUGCCAACACUCAUUGUCCAUCAUGUUGAUUAUAGCCAUCCUAGUGGGUAGAUGAGAAAGUGAUGAUAUGCUGUCAAAAUUAUCAGGUCUGCUCAAUGUGGUCAGGACCCUACAUGGUAAAAAAGAAUAGGGCCCUGACACAUAGAAUGGGAACAUACAGGUUGAUGCCACUGAGAAUCUUUUUUUUUUUUUUUUUUUUUUGAGACAGUGUCUUGCUCUGUCGCCCAGGCUGGAGUACAGUGGCACAAUCUUGGCUCACUGCACCCUCCACUUCCUGGGUUCAAGUGGUUCUCCUGCCUCAGCCUCCCGAGUAGCUGGGACUACAGGCACAUGCCACCACGCCUGACUAAUUUUUGUGUUAUUAGUAGAGAUGGGGUUUCACCAUGUUGGCCAGGCUGGUCUUGAACUCCUCACCUCAAGUUAUCUGCCCACCUCAGCCUCCCAAAGUGCUGGGAUUACAGGCAAGGGCCACCACCCCGGUCCCACUGAGAAUCUUGAAUCCUCAGAUUCCUCUGACUCCUAGAGCUGUAAAAGUGACCUAUCCAUCCCUCCCUGUUAAGAGCUAACCCUCCUCCCUUGCUUGGAAACCCUAUAGAGGCAUCCACAAGACGUUUGUCCCUGUGCCCACCUCCUCUCCUGCCCACAAGGGUUGUAACUAGGCUUAAAUUCCAGCAUAAACAAGCCAGGGAUGUGACGGGCCUCAUAGGGGAGGAAAGGGCCUAUAUCCCAAAGUAGCUGGAGGGCCAAGCCAGCAUGACCAGCAGAAGUCGGGUGAGUUUGUGCAGGAGUCAACCUUGAGGGUGCUCGAUCAGGGGGCUGCAGUGUGAGGUCAGAUAGGAAAGGGUUUAUUGAUUCGGAAGUCCUUUGGGAGUUCAGGGCUGCACACCCAGGCAAGGACUCCAGGAGAAGGUGUAAACUUGCUGCCAGGAGGGCUCCUAGAAGACGGGAAAAAGUAGGAGGCCAUGCUAAGUGAGAUCCAAAUGCCAGAAUUGCCAGGGGAGACGGUGGCAGAUGCGAUGAAAGGUCAGGGAAGUGGCAAUGCUUGGGAAGGCUGCAUAAGGCCCAGGGAGCCAGAGGCGACGAUCUUCCAUGGAAAGGCCAAGAUUCCCCUUUACCAAGUCCACGAGGAAUGGACCAGGAAGAGAACACCAGCCAGCAUCACAGAGAAGCUCAGAAAGCCUCCUCUGCAGGAGAUGCCAUCACAGGAUGGUGGGUGAGGCCCCUUGGGAGCUAGGCUCACUGAUAGCAAAAGGGAUGGUGGAACCCUGGAGUAAGAGAGGCCAGGAGAUGGCACCCAUUAGGGGACACAGUGCUCACCAUGAGUGGUAGGGCCCAGGAUUGGCCAGGAGGGGCUGGCCUGCAGAACAUGGAGAUGACCCUUAAAUCUUGGUGUUCAUAGGGACAGACUAGAUGGGCCACAAGCAGGCAGCUACUCAACUUACGCCAUCAAAAUACCUCAAGAAUGAACGCCGAGGAAACUUCCCCCAGUAAAAACAUCACCAUUGCUUUCCUAGUGGGCUUCCCAGGAAACACGUCUGUCACAUACGUCAGCUAAAUGUCAUGUGUGAGCCUAGAUGUUGGCGGGGGUGCGGAUGCUAUAAAGAAGAGUAUUGGAAUCGUUGGUAAAUUUUUCAAUAUAAGAAUGUAUUUAUGGCUGGAUGCAGUGGCUUACACCUAUAAUUCUACCACUUUGGGAGGCCGAGGCAGGCAGAUCACUUGAGCCCAGGAGUUCGAGAUCAGCCUGGGCAACAUGGUGAGACCCUACCUGUACAAAAAAAUACAAAAAUUAGUCAGACAUGGUGGUGUGUGCCUGUGGUCCCAGCUACUCAGGAAGCUGAGGCAGAAGAAUCGCUUGAGCCUGAGAGGUUGAGGCUACAGUGAGCCGAGAUUGUGCCACUGCACUCCAGCCUGGGUGACAGUGAGACUCUGUCUGUCUCAAAAUAUAUAUUUAUACAAUAUUUAUAUAAUAAACGUAUAUUUAUUAUAUAUGUUAUAUAAAUUAUAUAUUAUAUAAAUUAUACAAAAUUAUAUUUAUUAUAUAUGUUAUGAGAUGAUAGCAUUGUAUCAAUGAUAAAAGUCUGAAUUGGACCAUUGUUCUGUGCUUCUGUAACACAAUAUUCUUGCUCUUAGGAGAUAU